UACGGAGGGUGCGAGCGUUGUCCGGAAUCACUGGGCGUAAAGGGCGCGUAGGUGGUUCGUUAAGUCUGAUGUGAAAGCCCUGGGCUCAACCUGGGAAUGGCAUUGGAAACUGGCGGGCUGGAGUAUGGCAGAGGGGGGUGGAAUUCCGCGUGUAGCAGUGAAAUGCGUAGAGAUGCGGAGGAACACCGAUGGCGAAGGCAGCACCCUGGGCCAAUACUGACGCUCAGGCACGAAAGCGUGGGGAGCAAACAGG
rnacentral:rRNA from 1 species